CGAACGCUGGCGGCGUGCCUAAUACAUGCAAGUCGAGCGGAUCUUCAUUAGCUUGCUUUUGAAGAUCAGCGGCGGACGGGUGAGUAACACGUGGGCAACCUGCCUGUAAGACUGGGAUAACUUCGGGAAACCGGAGCUAAUACCGGAUAAUCCUUUCCCUCACAUGAGGGAAAGCUGAAAGACGGUUUCGGCUGUCACUUACAGAUGGGCCCGCGGCGCAUUAGCUAGUUGGUGAGGUAACGGCUCACCAAGGCCAACGAUGCGUAGCCGACCUGAGAGGGUGAUCGGCCACACUGGGACUGAGACACGGCCCAGACUCCUACGGGAGGCAGCAGUAGGGAAUCUUCCGCAAUGGACGAAAGUCUGACGGAGCAACGCCGCGUGAACGAUGAAGGCUUUCGGGUCGUAAAGUUCUGUUGUCAGGGAAGAACAAGUACCGGAGUAACUGCCGGUACCUUGACGGUACCUGACCAGAAAGCCACGGCUAACUACGUGCCAGCAGCCGCGGUAAUACGUAGGUGGCAAGCGUUGUCCGGAAUUAUUGGGCGUAAAGCGCGCGCAGGCGGUUCCUUAAGUCUGAUGUGAAA
rnacentral:rRNA from 1 species